UAAUACGUAGGGUGCGAGCGUUAAUCGGAAUUACUGGGCGUAAAGCGUGCGCAGGCGGUUUGAUAAGCCAGAUGUGAAAUCCCCGAGCUCAACUUGGGAACUGCGUUUGGAACUGUCAGACUAGAGUGCGUCAGAGGGGGGUGGAAUUCCGCGUGUAGCAGUGAAAUGCGUAGAGAUUUGGAGGAACACCGAUGGCGAAGGCAGCCCCCUGGGAUAAAACUGACGCUCAGGCACGAAAGCGUGGGUAGCAAACAGG
rnacentral:rRNA from 1 species